UUAUAUCCAUGUCUAGCAGCGGCAGCCAUGAUAUAGUCAGGCUCUUUCUUUUUGUCAGCCCAUGUAGUGUUCUCCUCUCUGGAGUUCCUAGAUAACAUGUUGCAAGUAGGGCCGCUUCCAGACGAAUCCUAUACUAUAGUAGAUUUUGACGCUCUCUACCCGACUAUUGAGCUUGCCCCUGUGGCACUUCUGUUCUACAGGUUUAUGCUAGAAAACGUUCCAGACUCACAUAAUUGUGCCAAGGUGUUAAGGGAUAUCGCUCAUACUGUAGUGUAUAACUCCUACUUCAUCUUUCGGGGUACUAUGUACAGACAAAGGAGGGGUGUCCUGAUUGGGGGCCCCUUGCUGGUGUAAUUGCCGAAAUUGUAGUUAGAUUCAAGGAGGGUCAAAUACUGCAAGGUUUACUAGGAGAUGUUAAACUGUACCAAAGAUAUGUGGAUGUCUGUAUAGUCUGGGGACCCCAACACUGUGAAAAUAAGUUUAUACAAGACAUGACUGAUGCUAUCCUCGGUCUGACGCUUAGGCUGAAGCAGUCUAGUCGAGACUCCUUUCAUUUCUUAGAUGUAGAAAUCUCCGUACAGGCAGGAGAGUAUGUUACCUUGAUCUAUAGAAGACCUACUUUUGUGCUUACUCAUUACAUCCUGGCAUGGUCCAGAGAUCCUUUGGUGUAUAAACUUGCUGCCUUUUGGGGCGAUGAUUAACUGAAUGCGUACCCAUAUAACGAAAUGGGCUGACAAAAAGAAAGAGCUAAACUAUAUCAUGAAUAUUGUGGCUAAAUACAGCUAUAAGAAA
rnacentral:lncRNA from 1 species